rnacentral:sRNA from 1 species
UAACACAUAUGUACAUAUGUACUUAAUGGUGUCUGAACAUUGUCCUUCUUUGCAUUACAAUUUCUAAGCUAGCGUCUUCAAUGGCCUGCAAAUUGAUACAUAUAUGUAUGUACGUAUAGAACUCUAGAAAUUAAUAAAAUAAAUUAAAAAUGAAGCAGCUUUAUACAGCUGUCUCAUUCGUACAACACCAAAUUUGAAACAGAAAUGCAUACUGUCUAAACGAAAAAUAUACAUAUUUGUGAGCUGACUAGUCAUCCGGCAAAAAUGGUAGACAAUGGAAACUUCGUUGUGGCUGUUCUGGUUCUUGUUGUCGACCAAAUCGGGCCCCGGGAAAGUGAAAAAGAGCAAAUGGGAAAUGUGACGGCAUGCGGCCACGUUUAAUGAAAACAUAAGACAGUUGGCAAUGCUGGAUUCAUUCAGUUGUGCAAAUGGAAAUUUCAGAUUUACAAUCCCUGAAAAGGAAGUACAGACGAGCCGAAACACGGGCUGCCAUCUCCAGCCGAAGGGAGGUCCAUUCCGGGCAGUACUCGAAACUCAUCGUUCCCAUUACAGGAUGACAAGACUUUUGUAUCUAGCCUCUCUGCUUUGCUUACUUAUUAGAUACAAAAAAACAACCAGACUGUUUCGGAAUGUAAGGAUGGUACCUGCCCGAGUAGAAGGUUUGCAGGAUAUCCACAUUAGACAGGAAGGAAGUGGCAAAACUUCUACUUGACCCGGACGAAGAAUACAUUGAUUUCGAUGUAGGUGCAAAUAUUGCCCUGUGCUUUCCGAGUACCUGGUAUUUUUAAACAAUACAAUCUGACUGCAUGUUCAUGCUCGUAGGCCAAGGGGAAACGCUUCUGAGAUUUAAUUUACUGAUAAUUUAGUUCCGUCGAGAGCCUUGCAUAGCUCGACAAAGCUGAUUCUUUUCAGCUGAAAGCACUAAGGAUUCUCUGCCAAAUAACUCAUCAUUGAGCUCAAUUUGUGUUUAACAAUCCUUGGUAAUCUUUAUUGCAUGCUCGUUUGUGCGGCAUCGAAGGCACACCGGAACACUUGCUCUCCAAGGCGUCGAGGCGGCCCCACGCAGCCCGGCUGCAAUCCCCCUUAUGACAGAUUGCAGAGCUCUCCGCCUCCUCUGCUCGGCGGGAGAUGGUUUAGUGACAGCCUAAGUGCAAUUGAGUGCCGCAUAACAGACUGUGCUAAUACCGACAUGUGGGCGAAGCAUUAGCAAUAGAUACAAAGCACCAGAAUUGCUCGAGCUACAUAGCUGAAACAUUUUCUUAUCAGAGCUGAAACCUCUAGAAAGCAUCGAUCGACUUCUAAUAUAGGAAUAUUGUGCAUAACAUUAUGUAGAAAUAUCUUUUUAAUCCUUCACUUGGACUCUGCAGCCCGGCCGGUCUCUACCAUUAUGUUUUUGUUUUUUGUUGUACUACUUAUUUGAUUUUCCACCCCGGCACUGAGCUGUUUCGCCCCCCAGGCGGGCUGUAGGACGAGGGAGUACGACUACGACGGUGUUGGACAUUUUGCACAUGACAAGGGGAAAAGUUUUCAAGUGGUGCACGUCAGCCGAGAGGUGCAGGCCGAGGCGAAGGCGGAUGCGUGGCUCAGGGGUAAUCAAGCACGACGGCAGCUGCCGUUAAAUUGAGGUAACGGACGGGCUGGAGCAACCGUAGGACCACCUUAGGGGCCGUGUGGCUAAGCGGUGGAGGGGCAAGAUACAAAAAACGAGUUUUAAUUAAAAUGCUCGGCAUACUUGGAGGCACGUUUUGAGCUUUUCACUGGCCUCCCGGAGGUAGCUGCACACUGGAGGAAUGCCCUCGAGAAUAGCAAGAGAAUCGAUUGCUGUGAUAUUUCAGCAGUGGCUCAAUUACUUCGCGGAGGUCCGCGUACGCAAAGUAAAGAUAGUUUUGCGAAUCAAAUCUCACAAAUCACAGGGACAGUCAGGUACAUAUGCACAGACAUCUACUGGUAAUAAAGUAAUUGAUUUGGAUUUGUUGUGGCCAGAGGCAUGAACGAUUCGUUACAUCUCCCACCCAACGAAAUGUCCUGGUAAUUUAGUCAAUAACAUACGUACGAGUAUUUAAAAUAAUUAAUAUCCGAGUAUACUCCACCGUGAAUGGUGGCAUCAUAAACCUAAUGCAUUUCGCCAGCGUCCGGGCCAACACCAACAGCAAUCAUAACUUAGUUUGGCUAAAAGCUUGUGCAAACGCUAAUUGAGUUUACUCUGGCCCGGGGAUGACGGCGGGGCCCUGAUCGUUGUACGGGUGGAAGGGUGGAUUGCUGAAUGGUGCGACGCUCGUCCCGAAUCCAAAUUGAUGUGCCUAAGCCCCCUCGUUCAUAGGGAUAUGUACAUAUGUAUAUAUGGGUGUAUUUGUAGGGAGAUCCAAACUUUAGAUAGUUUUCCGCGUGAGUGCGUUAAAUGCGAAACUGCUGACUCGAAAACUGUCACGCGCAAUCAGCGAAGGCAGUAAGUGCUGACCGGCCACGCCCACUUCGUCCGCACACCCAUGGAUUAUGCAUUCCGGCCAGGGGACGUGCUAGGGGGGGGCACUGUGGAUGUGGCUAUGGCUAUGGCUUUGGUUGCGUGGUCUACUGCCAAAACUGCACUCAAAAUUUUCAAGGUUUCCCGGGCUUUGUCAUCAGCACGGAAGAGAUCCCGUACCCCUUUUCCCCCCUUUCAGGGCUAGGAUGACAGUGGCCAGAUGCAUUUUCAUGGCUCUCCAAAGCCUCCAUAAGCCAUACAUUUAAUUCAGCUUUACCAAAAACAUUUAAUUGCCACUAGAGCCGUAGAGCACAUACCGUACGUACCGUAAAUAUUUUCGCAGUUUCGCAGCGAAUUUCAAUCUGCAUGGCUCUCGAUGAUUAAAGUGUAUUUACAGGCAACGAACGAAUAUUUUCGUUGCCAUAUUUGUAAAAUAAGUCAAGACUUUUCUUCGAUUUGCGAGGGACAAGAUCUGUCCGUUUAUCAUAGCAAUCACGAUAUCAUCUUUGGUAGACCUCCUUGUACAGCCUCCAAUAUCGAGCUGCUCAUUCGAAAGACGAACCGAUAGCUGACCAAGGAAACUUUCUUCUGCAUAACGGACAGACAAAUACAAUACAGUACUUUGCGGAAAGAAAGACAUGCCCUCUCGUACAAAUAUAGUCAGCUCCAAUUUUCGUACCUAGCUUGGAAAUGACAGCUGAAAAUGAGCUUUCAAUCAGCAGAUCAACAGGUGUCGGGGCCCAAAACCGCUUAGCAGCCAUGUCACGCGUUUAGCCAAAAUUAAAAUUAAUUAAUUGCUUGUGUGCUUCGUGGAUCCAAUCCACUGCAUGGCAGCCAUGUGGCUAUCCGCAAAAUGUAGCUCGAAUGCCGUUCCCAUUUCUCGUAUAAAAAGCCAGGAAAAUACAAAAUAUUCGGGCGAUGCAUAGCGUUUAAUAAAUCUAAUAAGGCCAUGCCAAAACAUCAAAUAUUGCAUAUACUCGAAACAAAAAUCCAAACCCGUUUGCGACAUCCGCGUUGACGAGGGUCUCGCUCGAUUUCAGGAUGUACGCGCCUCGUUCUGCUUUUGGAAUUCGGGCAUGUCCUACCUAUGUAUUUGUCAAACAAAUUGGUCAGAUAUUUGUGUUUGACUAUUGUAUUUGCUAAUUUCUCCUACAAAAUGUCGCACACCAAGCUUAAGCGGAGUUUAUGGGCUUCAAAAUGUGGCUGAUGUUUGGUUUUCCACGGAUACCAAAUAAAACCUAUUAAAAGAAGCACUUAUGCACUUUGUAUUAGUGUCCUUUUUUAUUUAACUGGUUAACUUAAUUUGUUCAACAUUUGUUUGCUGUGAGUGCAUAUUUUCCAGCUUAAUCUCGCAGUGUCUCAAUCUCCCAUUCUUGUUUGCCGUUUUUCUGUCAUAUACGAGUAGGCCCACCCAAAGCGGCCCACCGUCAUUCACUAUAUUCACUUCUUCGAAAACUGAACUGGAUAUCUAUAGGCGAGCUCCCACGGAGAUCUGAACCGUUAAGGCUGGUCAACCAACCUAUUCAAAACUAGUCGACCUGCGGGCCAUUUUCGCACAGCAUGGCGCUGAGCAGAUAGUAGUUGCUGAUAUUUUGUUUUCUAAGGAUAGAGAAAAAGCGCGUUGUCUUUGAUAGCCUUAAAAAUCCUUUGAGUAAUCCAGCUUAUGAACUGACUGCUGAUAACCCAAAGCGUGCAAAGCCGAUGAGGUUGGAAAAGGAAAAGUAGGCCGAAAUGUCCGUGAACCACCGUGAAUGCAGGUGGCCCCCUCCGACAGCCAGGAAAACCUCUUGCGAACAUCGAUAUGUCCAUCAUC